rnacentral:rRNA from 1 species
CCCUUAGAUGUUCGGGGCCGCACGUGCGCUACACUGAAGGAAUCAGCGUGCGUCUACCCUGGCCUGGAAAGGUUGGGUAACCCGUUGAACCUCCUUCGUGCUAGGGAUUGGGGCUUGUAAUUAUUCCCCAUGAACGAGGAAUUCCCAGUAAGCGCGAGUCAUAAGCUCGCGUUGAUUACGUCCCUGCCCUUUGUACACACCGCCCGUCGCUACUACCGAUUGGAUGGUUUAGUGAGAGCCUCGGAUUGGUCCCUGCAUGGUGGGCAACUAUCGCGCAGGUGUGCCGAGAAGAUGCUCAAACUUGNUNGUCUAGNGGAAGUAAAANUCGUANCA